CCAGAGAACUUAGCAGAGAUGCUUUGGUGCCUUCGGGAACUCUGAGACAGGUGCUGCAUGGCUGUCGUCAGCUCGUGUUGUGAAAUGUUGGGUUAAGUCCCGCAACGAGCGCAACCCUUAUCCUUUGUUGCCAGCGAUUCGGUCGGGAACUCAAAGGAGACUGCCGGUGAUAAACCGGAGGAAGGUGGGGAUGACGUCAAGUCAUCAUGGCCCUUACGGCCAGGGCUACACACGUGCUACAAUGGCGCAUACAAAGAGAAGCGACCUCGCGAGAGCAAGCGGACCUCAUAAAGUGCGUCGUAGUCCGGAUUGGAGUCUGCAACUCGACUCCAUGAAGUCGGAAUCGCUAGUAAUCGUAGAUCAGAAUGCUACGGUGAAUACGUUCCCGGGCCUUGUACACAUCGCCCGUCACACCAUGGGAGUGGGUUGCAAAAGAAGUAGGUAGCUUAACCUUCGGGAGGGCGCUUACCACUUUGUGAUUCAUGACUGGGGUGAAGUCGUAACAAGGUAAGCGUACGUGU
rnacentral:rRNA from 1 species